rnacentral:lncRNA from 1 species
AUGAGCUGUUCCUGCAGCCAACAUAGAAUUAGUAAUCUGCAAAAGACAUAGUGACGAGACAGCAUCUCUUAGCAUCUGGGUCAAGAAAACUUGUACUUUAUUCCUCAAUUGGACUUCCAGCUUCCUCUGCGGAACUUCAUCGCGGGUUCCCCAGGACUGCCCAGGCCUCCCCAGGACUGCACAGGCCUCCCCUGGGCCGGCGGAGCCGCUCUCACCUUCCACACUUCGCCGCCCUCCUGCGCUCAGGCAGCAUUCUGGACACGGGAUGUACAAGCUUCUCCUGUACCUGCAGUUUCUCACGAUAAUCAGCUCACAAUAGUCCUUAUGCCAAAGAGGCAUGUGUGGAGGUGCCAUAUUCUGGUCUCCUACAACAUUCAGUAAUGGUCAAGAUGGUUGAUGCAGGAAACAGAUGGAGGGGCAGAAGUUGAUACUCAUCUCAUUAGAUCCAAAGAAGCCAAAUGGUGGCCAUCACCUGUGACAUGAAGAGGGUAUAUUUUAUGGAACUGGACAGCUUUCAGAAUCACAAGCAACCUCUUCAAAAUGUGAUCUACUGAAACGUGCUUGAAAGAGAGAAUAGGAGUGAGGCGGGCAAAGGAAGCAGAAGCCAUUGUGAACUGCCCUAGAGAAACCUUGGGCAUCUUUUUGUUGGGCAAAGUGGUAGAGGCUGAAACGGGGAAUAGCAUGUAACAUUUUAUUUGACUGAAAUAAACAGCUGUUUGUUUUUUUUUUCUUUCAUAUGUAAGAUAGACAAAAGGUGUUUGACAGAUAAGGAUUGGGGCAAUGUUGGUAUGAGUUCAGCUUUUUAGUUUGUUCUUUAAAAGUGGCCAUCAAGAUGUGGGUGUAAGGUAUUUCACAGUGAUUUGCAUUCAUUCUCAUUGCUGUCACCAUCAAGGCCCAGUUACUCAAUAUCCAAGUUUGUUUUUGUUGUAAUUCAAACAAAAUAAAUACAAGUAGCAGGGCUUUCCAUCCUUCCUGGGAAUAUUGUGUGGGUGCAUCUCAGUGAAUGCCAACUGCUUUCAAAUAAAAUGUGCCAUCUGAAGGAGCACAGUUUCCACUCCAGACCUGCAUGUACAAGACGCAAAACAAGGCACUAGCUGGCUUAGGGGAGUCAUGCCUGAGAGAACGAGUUGUAUAUAAAACUCUGCUGAGGCUGAAAAUAGCACAGAUAUGAAAGACAGAAGCAAAAGAUAUCGGGUGUCCUAAAGUGCCAGAUGCCCAGGUCACUUAAAAGUGGAUGACUCAGAGUCACACAGAGUAGCAGCAUGCUGGGAUCUUUGAGGAAAGCUGACCAACCACAGAGAAGGAAAGGCAAAGUGAUUCCGCAGAGAAUUGAACCAAAUACAAAUUUGCCUUUGUUUUUCAUCCCACAGAAUUUCCUCUUCACCCAUGAGGUUUAUAGCUAUUUUCACAUGACCAUCCACUGAAAGGAAAAUAAAUCUGAUCCUGUCCCAUCUACUCGAAAUGCCUUGUCCUUAGGCCACUCAGCUUGAUCCUCGUAAUAAAAUCACAUAGAAUGGAAUACAUUUUAAGGCAAAAAUGUGUAUGGCUAAUUAGGAUAUUUAUGUAUUGAUAAGAUAAAGAUAGAUGAGAUGCUGGGAGAAUAAAAUAAUUAUAAAUCUUACAACAUCAUGUCAAAGUAUAUGGUAUAUGGUCAAAGUAUAUGGUAUAAAACUACAAAACUGCUAGAAAAAAAUUACAAAAUUAUGAGAGAACUUGCACCUCUUUCAAUCAUGGGUAGAAAAGGCAGCAAAAAAGUUAAUGGGAAUUUAGAAGAUUUAGGCAACAUAAUAAUGUUGAUUUGGUACAUGUAUAAGCCUGAAACUAACAGAUGAUAUAAAACCUUAUGGAUGCCACUGAACUGUGAAAUGUACACAUAAAAAUGCUUAACAUAGCACAUUUUAUUAUAUAUAUCUAUAUAUUUUAUCACUGUAGGGGAUAAAAAAAUAUUUUUUUCUCAGUGAUUGCUAGGUUUAUGCCUGAGGCCUCCCUAAUAACGGAAAGAUUAACAAGAGAUAAACACACAAAUUUGUUUAAUAAAAGUUUCAUUGGAUAUAGGAACCUUCACAAGAAAAUGAAGAUCCAAAGAAACAGGUAAACCUGUAUGCUUUUACAGGUUUACAGGGUGGCCGGCGCCUGCCCUCAGAAUGUUUGGAAACUAAGAAACAUACAUAAAAUAAUUCAAAAAAAAUUUAAAAAAAAAGGGAAAAAAGGAAAAAGAAAUCACAAGAAAUAUUAGAAAAUAUUUAGAAGAAAAUGUAAAUUCCAAGGGAAUAUUUGUGAAAUAUACAUAAAUCAUUCAAUAGAGGGAAUUUUAUAGCCUUAAAAUACAUGCACGAAGAAAUAAAUCUUUCCUGGAUUUCUUUUAUUCCUGCAAAAUUCUGGUUCCCUGAACCACUGAAAUGGAUAUAAUAUGAAGCUAGAGAAUGUUUUCCUUUCCCCCCAAAUAUUUUACUUUUUGCACGUCUUGAGUAUUAAACUGCGGUUAUUUGUCUUCUUUUAGUUGGAACUAAUUCCCUUCCAUCUAAAGGAAAACAAAAGUGUUUUUUUAAUUAAAAAAUUUUAAUUUAUUUUUCUUCU